rnacentral:rRNA from 1 species
UUCACAUGCAAGUCGAACGGCAGCACGGGGGCAACCCUGGUGGCGAGUGGCGAACGGGUGAGUAAUACAUCGGAACGUGUCCUGUAGUGGGGGAUAGCCCGGCGAAAGCCGGAUUAAUACCGCAUACGAUCUACGGAAGAAAGCGGGGGAUCUUCGGACCUCGCGCUAUAGGGGCGGCCGAUGGCAGAUUAGCUAGUUGGUGGGGUAAAGGCCUACCAAGGCGACGAUCUGUAGCUGGUCUGAGAGGACGACCAGCCACACUGGGACUGAGACACGGCCCAGACUCCUACGGGAGGCAGCAGUGGGGAAUUUUGGACAAUGGGGGAAACCCUGAUCCAGCAAUGCCGCGUGUGUGAAGAAGGCCUUCGGGUUGUAAAGCACUUUUGUCCGGAAAGAAAACUUCGGGGCUAAUACCUCUGGAGGAUGACGGUACCGGAAGAAUAAGCACCGGCUAACUACGUGCCAGCAGCCGCGGUAAUACGUAGGGUGCGAGCGUUAAUCGGAAUUACUGGGCGUAAAGCGUGCGCAGGCGGUCUGUUAAGACAGAUGUGAAAUCCCCGGGCUUAACCUGGGAACUGCAUUUGUGACUGGCAGGCUAGAGUAUGGCAGAGGGGGGUAGAAUUCCACGUGUAGCAGUGAAAUGCGUAGAGAUGUGGAGGAAUACCGAUGGCGAAGGCAGCCCCCUGGGCCUUAUCGACGCUCAUGCACGAAAGCGU